CAGUUGAGUUUUCCACAUCCAGUUCGCCGCAAGCAACUUCCGGAUCAGGCGAGUUUAUUCUCUCAUUUGAUUGUUCACCAACUUCCAGAUCAGGCGAGUUUAUUCUCUCAUUUGUUUGUUCACCAACUUCCAGAUCAGGCGAGUUUAUUCUCUCAUUUGUUUGUUCACCAACUUCCAGAUCAGGCGAGUUUACUCUCUCGUUUGAUUGUUCACCGACUUCCAGAUCAGGCGAGUUUAUUCUCUCAUUUGUUUGUUCACCAACUUCCAGAUCAGGCGAGUUUGCUCUCUCGUUUGAUUGUUCACCGACUUCCAGAUCAGGCGAGUUUAUUCUCUCGUCCGGAUCAGGCGAGUUUAUUCUCUCGUCUGAUUGUUCCCCAACUUCCGGAUCAGGCGAGUUUAUUCUCUCGUUUGAUUGUUCACCAACUUCCGGAUCUGGCGAGUUUAUUCUCUCGUUUGAUUGUUCACCCUCUUUUAUCUCAACAUCGUUUUCUUCUUCAUCUCCUUUUGAGCAGUCCAUGGUAGGCAAGGAUUCAUCGGUAAGAGGACAGGCAAUUAUCGCCAAAUUCGACUCAUUCUGAUUCUCAUUUCUUGUUUCUUCGCAUUCUACGACUAAUGUAGAUGGAGAUCUACGUGACAUUUCUUCGGUCGCCUCNCUCUCUCGUUUGAUUGUUCACCGACUUCCAGAUCAGGCGAGUUUAUUCUCUCGUCCGGAUCAGGCGAGUUUAUUCUCUCGUCUGAUUGUUCCCCAACUUCCGGAUCAGGCGAGUUUAUUCUCUCGUUUGAUUGUUCACCAACUUCCGGAUCAGGCGAGUUUAUUCUCUCGUUUGAUUGUUCACCAACUUCCGGAUCUGGCGAGUUUAUUCUCUCGUUUGAUUGUUCACCCUCUUUUAUCUCAACAUCGUUUUCUUCUUCAUCUCCUUUUGAGCAGUCCAUGGUAGGCAAGGAUUCAUCGGCAAGAGGACAGGCAAUUAUCGCCAAAUUCGACUCAUUCUGAUUCUCAUUUCUUGUUUCUUCGCAUUCUACGACUAAUGUAGAUGGAGAUCUACGUGACAUUUCUUCGGUCGCCU
rnacentral:lncRNA from 1 species